rnacentral:rRNA from 1 species
UACGUAGGUGGCAAGCGUUUGUCCGGAAUUAUUGGGCGUAAAGCGCGCGCAGGCGGUUCCUUAAGUCUGAUGUGAAAGCCCCCGGCUCAACCGGGGAGGGUCAUUGGAAACUGGGGAACUUGAGUGCAGGAGAGGAAAGCGGAAUUCCACGUGUAGCGGUGAAAUGCGUAGAUAUGUGGAGGAACACCAGUGGCGAAGGCGGCUUUCUGGUCUGUAACUGACGCUGAGGCGCGAAAGCGUGGGGAGCAAACAGG